UUCCGUAGGUGAACCUGCGGAGGGAUCAUUACCGAGUUUACAACUCCCAAACCCCUGUGAACAUACCAAUUGUUGCCUCGGCGGAUCAGCCCGCUCCCGGUAAAACGGGACGGCCCGCCAGAGGACCCCUAAACUCUGUUUCUAUAUGUAACUUCUGAGUAAAACCAUAAAUAAAUCAAAACUUUCAACAACGGAUCUCUUGGUUCUGGCAUCGAUGAAGAACGCAGCAAAAUGCGAUAAGUAAUGUGAAUUGCAGAAUUCAGUGAAUCAUCGAAUCUUUGAACGCACAUUGCGCCCGCCAGUAUUCUGGCGGGCAUGCCUGUUCGAGCGUCAUUUCAACCCUCAAGCCCAGCUUGGUGUUGGGACUCGCGAGUCAAAUCGCGUUCCCCAAAUUGAUUGGCGGUCACGUCGAGCUUCCAUAGCGUAGUAGUAAAACCCUCGUUACUGGUAAUCGUCGCGGCCACGCCGUUAAACCCCAACUUCUGAAUGUGACCUCGGAUCAGGAGAUGCAAGUC
rnacentral:rRNA from 1 species